UGAGGUUAAGUUAACAAGGGCGCAUGGUGAAUGCCUUGGCACUAGGAGCCGAUGAAGGACGGGACUAACACCGAUAUGCUUCGGGGAGCUGUACGUAAGCUAUGAUCCGGAGAUUUCCGAAUGGGGCAACCCAGCAGUUUUAAUCAACUGUUACCACUAGAUGAA
rnacentral:rRNA from 1 species